rnacentral:tRNA from 1 species
CUCCUUUCUAAGGAUGAUCAAGAAUAGGGCUUUUUUUAAAAAAAAUCCCUCCCUUUUUGAUCUCAUUAGACACAAAGUUUAAACAUGUGUUUGUUUAAACUGUGCAUAUGACGCUAACUCUCAAUGAAUCCCUCUCACCAAAAAGAGACCCCUCUUUGCUAACAAAGAGGAUCCCCCCCCGUCUCUUUGAGGCCCCUACCUCGGAUGAGAGAACUAUUUGAGGGCUUAGUGCUCAUGUGUUGAUACAAUAAAUGCAGGACAUGCCGUCUUCGUUUCUCUUUCUUCAGAUGAUGAUCCCAAGCCUUCUGGCGAUCUCUUAAAAUAAAGCCUAGCCUGCUUUACAAAAAAAACGGGCGUUUAGAUACUCUUUAAAUUCUUAUGAACCUUAAAGAGUAUCCAUUUAAAAAAGGCUUUAUGAAGAAAGCACUUUAAGCUUUUCCAGUGAUUUAAGAUGAUACCGGGGAAGGUUUUCCGGUUUAUCCCGGAGGGCUUGUAGCUCAGUUGGUUAGAGCGCGCGCUUGAUAAGCGUGAGGUCGGAGGUUCAAGUCCUCCCAGGCCCACCAAUUUAUGCUCGUUUUUUGCUUAUCCAAGAGUGUGAAGCUUAAGCUUAUCAAAGCCUCUUUUAAUCUUUGUUUAUUUUAAAGAUUUAAUUUUAUCAUUCAAAGAUUGUUUGUUAAAUUUAUUCUAUUAAGUUUGUCAAAGGGGGAGUUUGUCAAAGGAGGUUUUUAAAUCCCUUCAUUUUGAAAUUCCUUCAAGGGGAUAGGAAAAUUUAAAUGUUGCAAAUCAAAAUAGUCAAAGUCAUUCAAGGUGAUGAGUUUUCUUGAGGUUGAUUUGAAAGAGCAUUAUUUAGGGGCCGUAGCUCAGCUGGGAGAGCACCUGCUUUGCAAGCAGGGGGUCGUCGGUUCGAUCCCGUCCGGCUCCACCACUUUAUGGUUCAUCAUCAUGUUGUAAGAAUAUUGUUUUGCGAGAGGUUUUAUGAACUUCUUGCCUGUUCUAUUGAAAUUGUGAAGAGAAGAUAUAUUCAGACAUGAUUUUUUAUGCUCUGUCUUUAUACAAGAUAGCGUUAUGAAAAAUGAUGUGUCGCAAGGGAAUGCUCAAAGCCCUUGCUUAUGAUUGGAAGCUUAACCGCGCCAUUGAAUAUAUCUCGAGAAGCUGGUCUUUUCUGCUGAUAUCAUUGUUUGUUUUGCGCUUUGUCUUGCACAGGACAAAGAGAUGUAGACAAACAGAUCAACAGACAAAUAACAAAUGCUUUACGCGUUAUUACGUGGAGCGUUUUUAUUGAGAAAAUUGAA